rnacentral:rRNA from 1 species
GAUGAACGCUGGCGGCGUGCCUAAUACAUGCAAGUCGAGCGAACAGACGAGGAGCUUGCUCCUCUGACGUUAGCGGCGGACGGGUGAGUAACACGUGGAUAACCUACCUAUAAGACUGGGAUAACUUCGGGAAACCGGAGCUAAUACCGGAUAAUAUAUUGAACCGCAUGGUUCAAUAGUGAAAGACGGUUUUGCUGUCACUUAUAGAUGGAUCCGCGCCGCAUUAGCUAGUUGGUAAGGUAACGGCUUACCAAGGCAACGAUGCGUAGCCGACCUGAGAGGGUGAUCGGCCAGACUGGAACUGAGACACGGUCCAGACUCCUACGGGGGGCAGCAGUAGGGAAUCUUCCGCGAUGGGCGAAAGCCUGACGGAGCAACGCCGCGUGAGGGAUGAAGGUCUUCGGAUCGUAAAACUCUGUUAUUAGGGAAGAACAAAUGUGUAAGUAACUAUGCACGUCUUGACGGUACCUAAUCAGAAAGCCACGGCUAACUACGUG